rnacentral:rRNA from 1 species
AACGAACGCUGGCGGCAUGCCUAACACAUGCAAGUCGAACGAACUCUUCGGAGUUAGUGGCGCACGGGUGCGUAACGCGUGGGAAUCUGCCCUUGGGUACGGAAUAACUCAGAGAAAUUUGUGCUAAUACCGUAUAAUGACUUCGGUCCAAAGAUUUAUCGCCCAAGGAUGAGCCCGCGUAAGAUUAGCUAGUUGGUGAGGUGUUGGUGGGGUAAAAGCCUACCAAGGCGACGAUCUUUAGCUGGUCUGAGAGGAUGAUCAGCCACACUGGGACUGAGACACGGCCCAGACUCCUACGGGAGGCAGCAGUGGGGAAUAUUGGACAAUGGGCGAAAGCCUGAUCCAGCAAUGCCGCGUGAGUGAUGAAGGCCUUAGGGUUGUAAAGGCUCUUUUACCCGGGUAUGAUAAUGACA